rnacentral:rRNA from 1 species
GAUGAACGCUGGCGGCGUGCCUAAUACAUGCAAGUCGAGCGAACAGACGAGGAGCUUGCUCCUCUGACGUUAGCGGCGGACGGGUGAGUAACACGUGGAUAACCUACCUAUAAGACUGGGAUAACUUCGGGAAACCGGAGCUAAUACCGGAUAAUAUAUUGAACCGCAUGGUUCAAUAGUGAAAGACGGUUUUGCUGUCACUUAUAGAUGGAUCCGCGCCGCAUUAGCUAGUUGGUAAGGUAACGGCUUACCAAGGCAACGAUGCGUAGCCGACCUGAGAGGGUAAUCGGCCACAAUGGAACUGAGACACGGUCCAAACUCCUAAGGAAGGCAGCAGUAGGGAAUCUUCCGCAAUGGGCGAAAGCCUGACGGAGCAACACCGCGUGAGUGAUAAAGGUCUUCGGAUCGUAAAACUCUGUUAUUAGGGAAGAACAAAUGUGUAAGUAACUAUGCACGUCUUGACGGUACCUAAUCAGAAAGCCACGGCUAACUACGUG